rnacentral:lncRNA from 1 species
GAGCUCUCAAAAGGACAACCCUCUGAUACAAGUUUAACAGGAAGUUUGUGUCAUUUAAGAGGAUAUCCACAGUGUCAGAAAGCCAGAACUUUAUAAAGAAUGUCCUAGGAUGCCAUCGACCAAAUUCCUUUAUUCAAUUUGAUCAAUACUUUACAGAGCAGCAACUUUGAUUUUUCCUUCUGAAAACUCAAUAGUGUUUAUUCUUACAACUCAGUGCAUAUGUGGUCAUUCCUACCUGGAUUCACCCUCAAGUGCUGUAAAAAUUGCUCUUUGUUACCUAAGUAAAAGGGAAGAAUAAACUUGAAGACGAAUGUGUCUGCAACUUUGGUAGCUUCAGAAUUAAUAGUCAGCAUUUCAGAUUUUUAGAGGAAAAAACUACAUGUGUAAUUCAAAACAUUCUUAAAAGCAAUAAAAAUGUUACUAUAAUCAGUUUUACUUAUAUUUUUGGAAUAUAUUAACUCUUAGGAAACAAUUUGGAACUUAAUAUCAAAGAUAGUGCUUUCCAAUAUUUCAAAGCUGGUAUAAUAAUAUAUAGCCUACAUGAAUUAUGUGAGUGUUGAUAAUAUUUAAUCAACUACGAUGCUAUUAAUGAACCCUGGGUAAAAAUAAAUAUUUUAGCUUUUUUUUUUUUUUUUUUUUUUUUUGCUUUUUAGGCUCCUCCUGCGGCAUAUGGAAGUUCCCAGGCUAGGCUAGGGGUCUAAUCGGAGCUGUAGCCACUGCCCUACGCCAGAGCCACAGCAACGCGGGAUCCGAGCCGCGUCUGCAACCUACACCACAGCUCACGGCAACGCCGGAUCGUUAACCCACUGAGCAAGGGCAGGGACCGAACCCGCAACCUCAUGGUUCCUAGUCGGAUUCGUUAACCACUGCGUCACAACAGGAACUCCGAGAAGUCUUAAUUGUAUAAAUUAUACAAAUAAAAUAAUGUUAUUUUAGUGAAAAAUGAGCUUACUUUUGUAAAUAUAUUUAAGUGAAAGUUAUACAUCCUUAAUAUAGCUACAAGAUAUUCUAGAUGUAGAGUUUUUGAUUAUGAUAUUUUCAAUGUCAUCAUAGCCACUAUGCGCAAACUUUGAACAAAUUAGUAAAUGGGAGCAAACAUUAAACUCUUACUUUUUUAAAGUUGAAGUACAGUUGAUUUACCAUGUUGUGUUAGUUUCAAGUGUAUGACACAGAAAAUCGGUCUUAUCAUAUCUGUAUCUAUUUCUAUAUAUAAUAUGUAUAUAUUCUUUUUAAGAUUAUUUUUCCUUUACAGGUUAUUAAAAAAUAUUGAGUAUAGUUCCCUGUGUUAUACAGUAGGCCCUUAUUGGUUAUCUAUUUUAUAUAGUAGUGUGUAUAAAUGAAUCUCAUCCUCCUAGUUUACCCCUCCCCCACUUACCCUUUGGUAACCAUAAGUUUGUUUUCUAUGUCUGUGGGGAAAUUUGUUUCUUUUUUUUUUUCAGAUUCCACAUAUAACUAACAUUAUAUGAUAUUUGUCUUUGGCUUAAUUCACUUAGUAUGAUAAUCUCUAGGAGAUGUAUCUAUAUAUCUCUAUGUAGAGAUAUAUAAAAUGGAGUAAUACUCAGCCAUUAAAAAAUAAUGAAAUAAUGCCAAUUGCAACGACAUGGAUGGACCUAAAAACUCUUACUUUUAAUAAGAAUUCAGUUAAUUUGAUCUUAAAUGAUACGGGGUGAUUACUUUUUAAACUUAAGAACUCUUCCAUUUCCUUCUUGACAUAUGGAACAUUGAAAUUGAAAUUUCUGGUGAUCAUAUUAAAGGAUUUUGAAUUCAAUCACUUUUUAUAACAAAUAUUGCCAAAUAAAGAAAAAUCCCUACUUUCAAUAAUUUUGUAAGAUUCAGUAAGUUUACUUAGUGUUUAUAACUGAUGAGUUAUUUUACCGUCAUUUACUGAAUUUUCAGUUCAACUCCACAAACUUUAUUAGCACAUGGUAAUGUAGUUAGUUACACAUGGACAUUGCCUACUUUUAGUUAAUUUUAUUGUGAUGCUGAAAAAUAUAAAAGUGUCUUUUUUUAAACCAAAAGCUAUACUUCAAUUUUUUUCAAGUUUUU